rnacentral:misc_RNA from 1 species
UUUCCGUAGGUGAACCUGCGGAAGGAUCAUUAAUGAGUUGUCAUGGGGUUCGAUGCUGGCAGCCAGUUUUUGGAUGCAUGUGCUUGCCCUAACAAUCAUCUUCUUCCAAACACCUGUGCACAUUUUUGAGGGAGUCUUGAGUUGGUUGCCGCUCUUGGGUGAUUUUCUCACAUUCCCUUAAAUCAUUAUACGCUGUUAACAAUGUUGAACGUGCUCUGUGCUGCAAGGCCAUUAAUAUAAUACAACUUUUAACAACGGAUCUCUUGGCUCUC